GGGUUGUGAGGUUAAGCGACUAAGCGUACACGGUGGAUGCCCAGGCAGUCAGAGGCGAUGAAGGACGUGCUAAUCUGCGUAAAGCGACGGUAAGGUGAUAUGAACCGCUACAGCCGUCGAUGUCCGAAUGGGGAAACCCGGUGCACUCUGUGCAUCAUUGCAGCAUGAAUACAUAGUGCUGCAAGGCGAACCGGGGGAACUGAAACAUCUAAGUACCCCGAGGAAAAGAAAUCAACCGAGAUUCCCCCAGUAGCGGCGAGCGAACGGGGAGCAGCCCAGAGCCUGAAUCAGCUUGUGUGUUAGUGGAAGCGUCUGGAAAGUCGCAGGGUACAGGGUGAUACUCCCGUACACAAAAACACACAUGCUGUGAGCUCGAUGAGUAAGGCGGGACACGUGGUAUCCUGUCUGAAUAUGGGGGGACCAUCCUCCAAGGCUAAAUACUCCUGACUGACCGAUAGUGAACCAGUACCGUGAGGGAAAGGCGAAAAGAACCCCGGCGAGGGGAGUGAAACAGAACCUGAAACCGUGUACGUACAAGCAGUGGGAGCCUUCUUUAUGGGGGUGACUGCGUACCUUUUGUAUAAUGGGUCAGCGACUUAUAUUCUGUAGCAAGGUUAACCGUAUAGGGGAGCCGCAGGGAAACCGAGUCUUAACUGGGCGUUAAGUUGCAGGGUAUAGACCCGAAACCCGGUGAUCUAGCCAUGGGCAGGUUGAAGGUUGGGUAACACUAACUGGAGGACCGAACCGACUAAUGUUGAAAAAUUAGCGGAUGACCUGUGGCUGGGGGUGAAAGGCCAAUCAAACCGGGAGAUAGCUGGUUCUCCCCGAAAGCUAUUUAGGUAGCGCCUCGUGAACUCAUCUUCGGGGGUAGAGCACUGUUUCGGCUAGGGGGCCAUCCCGGCUUACCAACCCGAUGCAAACUGCGAAUACCGAAGAAUGUUAUCACGGGAGACACACGGCGGGUGCUAACGUCCGUCGUGAAGAGGGAAACAACCCAGACCGCCAGCUAAGGUCCCAAAGUCAUGGUUAAGUGGGAAACGAUGUGGGAAGGCACAGACAGCCAGGAUGUUGGCUUAGAAGCAGCCAUCAUUUAAAGAAAGCGUAAUAGCUCACUGGUCGAGUCGGCCUGCGCGGAAGAUGUAACGGGGCUAAACCAUGCACCGAAGCUGCGGCAGCGAC
rnacentral:rRNA from 1 species